rnacentral:rRNA from 1 species
GUACGGGAGGCAGCAGUAAGGAAUAUUGGUCAAUGGACGCAAGUCUGAACCAGCCAUGCCGCGUGAAGGAUGAAGGUCCUCUGGAUUGUAAACUUCUUUUAUAUGGGAAGAAAUCCAUCUUUUCUUGGGUGGUUGACGGUACCAUAGGAAUAAGCACCGGCUAACUCCGUGCCAGCAGCCGCGGUAAUACGGAGGGUGCAAGCGUUAUCCGGAUUCACUGGGUUUAAAGGGUGCGUAGGAGGGCAGGUAAGUCAGUGGUGAAAUCUCCAAGCUUAACUUGGAAACUGCCGUUGAUACUAUCUGUCUUGAAUACCGUGGAGGUGAGCGGAAUAUGUCAUGUAGCGGUGAAAUGCUUAGAUAUGACAUAGAACACCAAUUGCGAAGGCAGCUCGCUACACGAAUAUUGACUCUGAGGCACGAAAGCGUGGGGAUCAAACAGGAUUAGAUACCCCGGUAGG